UUUCCGUAGGUGAACCUGCGGAAGGAUCAUUACUGAGUGAGGGCCCCUCGGGGUCCAACCUCCCACCCGUGUUUAACGAACUUUGUUGCUUCGGCGGGCCCGCCUCACGGCCGCCGGGGGGCAUCUGCCCCCGGGCCCGCGCCCGCCGAAGCCACCUGUGAACGCUGUCUGAAGUAUGCAGUCUGAGACAAUUAUUAAAUUAAUUAAAACUUUCAACAACGGAUCUCUUGGUUCCG
rnacentral:misc_RNA from 1 species